rnacentral:rRNA from 1 species
GGUAAUGCCGGAUGCUCCAGUUGAUCGCAUGGUCUUCUGGGAAAGCUUUCGCGGUAUGGGAUGGGGUCGCGUCCUAUCAGCUUGACGGCGGGGUAACGGCCCACCGUGGCUUCGACGGGUAGCCGGCCUGAGAGGGCGACCGGCCACAUUGGGACUGAGAUACGGCCCAGACUCCUACGGGAGGCAGCAGUGGGGAAUAUUGCACAAUGGGCGCAAGCCUGAUGCAGCGACGCCGCGUGAGGGAUGGAGGCCUUCGGGUUGUAAACCUCUUUUAUCGGGGAGCAAGCGUGAGUGAGUUUACCCGUUGAAUAAGCACCGGCUAACUACGUGCCAGCAGCCGCGGUAAUACGUAGGGUGCAAGCGUUAUCCGGAAUUAUUGGGCGUAAAGGGCUCGUAGGCGGUUCGUCGCGUCCGGUGUGAAAGUCCAUCGCUUAACGGUGGAUCCGCGCCGGGUACGGGCGGGCUUGAGUGCGGUAGGGGAGACUGGAAUUCCCGGUGUAACGGUGGAAUGUGUAGAUAUCGGAAAAAAAACACCA